rnacentral:tRNA from 1 species
GCCAACGUAGCUCAGUUAGGCUAGAGCAAUCCCUUCGUAAGGGAAAGGUCGUCGGUUCGAUUCCGACCGUUGGCUCCA